rnacentral:rRNA from 1 species
GACGAACGCUGGCGGCGUGCCUAAUACAUGCAAGUCGAACGCUUUUUCUUUCACCGGAGCUUGCUCCACCGAAAGAAAAAGAGUGGCGAACGGGUGAGCAACACGUGGGUAACCUGCCCAUCAGAAGGGGAUAACACUUGGAAACAGGUGCUAAUACCGUAUAACACUAUUUUCCGCAUGGAAGAAAGUUGAAAGGCGCUUUUGCGUCACUGAUGGAUGGACCCGCGGUGCAUUAGCUAGUUGGUGAGGUAACGGCUCACCAAGGCAACGAUGCAUAGCCGACCUGAGAGGGUGAUCGGCCACACUGGGACUGAGAAACGGCCCAGACUCCUACGGGAGGCAGCAGUAGGGAAUCUUCGGCAAUGGACGAAAGUCUGACCGAGCAACGCCGCGUGAGUGAAGAAGGUUUCCGGAUCGUAAAACUCUGUUGUUAGAGAAGAACAAGGAUGAGAGUAAAAUGUUCAUCCCUUGACGGUAUCUAACCAGAAAGCCACGGCUAACUACGUGCCAGCCGCCGCCGUAA